GGUGGCUCAGUGGUAGAGUGCUUGCCUUGCAUGCAUGAGGUCCUGGAUUUGAUUCCCCAGCACCA
rnacentral:tRNA from 1 species